GGCUAUUCUUGCGGUACCGUCAUUAUCUUCCCGCACAAAAGAGCUUUACAACCCUAGGGCCUUCAUCACUCACGCGGCAUGGCUGGAUCAGGCUUGCGCCCAUUGUCCAAUAUCCCCCACUGCUGCCUCCCGUAGGCCCCCCGUGCCCCCGCCCCGCCCGCCGCGCGCGGCAGGGCGAGGGCGGGGGCACGGG
rnacentral:rRNA from 1 species